rnacentral:rRNA from 1 species
UACGAAGGGGGCUAGCGUUGUUCGGAAUUACUGGGCGUAAAGGGCGCGUAGGCGGUGCCUCAAGUCAGGCGUGAAAGCCCCGGGCUCAACCUGGGAACCGCGCUUGAGACUGGAGUACUAGAGUUCGGGAGAGGAUGGUGGAAUUCCCAGUGUAGAGGUGAAAUUCGUAGAUAUUGGGAAGAACACCGAUGGGCGAAGGCAGCCAAUCUGGACCGACACUGACGCUGAGGCGCGAAAGCGUGGGGAGCAAACAGG